UAACCAUAAAGGAAAUUUGAAUCGUUCCUGUGUGAACUGCUUGAAAGGUGUUGUCACCUUCCUCAACUUCAUCUGCUGGUUGUGUCGUGCCUUCAUGGUGGGUUUUGGAGAGUUCCAGAUGAUGCACUCUAGAUUUGUCUCCCUCAUCACAUUCUUAUGCCCCAUCAACCCUGCCAACACCCUGGUAGUCACGGAAACCAUCGUGACCUGUGUGUGUUACCUGGGAAUCAUGGGGCCCCUGAAGGAAAACCGUUGUAUGCUCAUCACUUUUAGGUGCUGUGGGGGUCCAUGGUGUGGCAGACUGGGAGGGCAAUGUGCCCCUGUCCUGCUGUACCAGAGACUCCUGUAACAUUAUCCUCCAACCUAACUGGCAGGAGGGCUGUCAUAUGAAGCUCAGGAACUGGUUUGCGAGGAACUUUCUCAGCACUAGAGCAGGUGUCGUCUCCCUGUGUAUUCUACAUUUGAUUUGCCUGUGUUUCACAGUCCCCAGCUUCUGACACUUCAGUCGUAAUGGAUAUGGUUACAAGUAAAAGAAGAACCCAUGACUUUCAACUGGCUUAUUACGCAAAACAGGAUCUCAUUCACUUGAGACAAAAUGUCAGAAGGAUAUCAUUUUCUAUCACAGGUGUUUAGUGUUUGUUUGUUUGUAAAUAGAACACAAAGCAAUAGGGUACCUUUUUUGAGAGAAGUGAUGUUAUCAGUACUUAGCAUAAUGACCAAGCAUCUAACAAGAACAGUUGCCAUUGAGACUGAGUAAUGUGUAUGUUAUAGGGAUUGCUUAAAACGUACAGAA